rnacentral:tRNA from 1 species
GGAGAGGUGGCUCAGUGGUUAAGAGCACUGCCUGCUCUUCCAGAGGUCCUGAGUUCAACUCCCAGCAACCCCA